GACGUAGGGGGCGAGCGUUGUCCGGAUUUAUUGGGCGUAAAGCGUGCGUAGGCGGCUGCGCAAGUCGGUUGUGAAACCCCGGGGCUCAACCCCGGAACUGCAUCCGAUACUGCGUGGCUAGAGGUAGGUAGGGGAGAUCGGAAUUCCUGGUGUAGCGGUGAAAUGCGCAGAUAUCAGGAGGAACACCGGUGGCGAAGGCGGUUCUCUGGGCAUGUUCUGACGCUGAGGAGCGAAAGUGUGGGGAGCGAACAGG
rnacentral:rRNA from 1 species